UAACUGCGAGUGAAGAGGGAAAAGCUCAAAUUCUGAAUCUGGCGGUCGUGAUGGCCGUCCGAGUUGUAAUCUAGAGAAGCGUCUUCUAGCGCUGAGCCGUGUACAAGUCUCCUGGAAGGGAGCGUCAUAGAGGGUGAGAAUCCCGUCUUUGACACGGAGAAUCAGUGCGAUGUGAUGCGCUCUCGACGAGUCGAGUUGUUUGGGAAUGCAGCUCAAAUAGGGUGGUAAAUUCCAUCUAAAGCUAAAUACUGGCGAGAGACCGAUAGCGAACAAGUACCGUGAGGGAAAGAUGAAAAGAACUUUGGAAAGAGAGUUAAACAGUACGUGAAAUUGCUGAAAGGGAAACGCUCGAGGUCAGUCGCGUCCGCCAGGGAUCAACCUUGCUUCUUCGCUCGGUGCAUUUCUUGGUCGGACGGGUCAGCAUCAGUUUCGAUCGUCGUAGAACGGUCGAGGGAACGUGGCACCUCUCGAGGUGUGUUAUAGCCCUCGAUCUUAUGCGUCGGAAGGGACUGAGGAACUCGACACUUUUCGUGUCUAGGA
rnacentral:rRNA from 1 species